rnacentral:piRNA from 1 species
UAUCAAACUGAAUAACCAUAACUGCCAUCGA